GGUGGAGUAGCCAAGUGGCCUAAGGCAACGGUUUGCAAAACCGUCAUUCGUGGGUUCAAAUCCCACCUCCACCUCCA
rnacentral:tRNA from 1 species